AGUGAACGCUGGCGGUAGGCCUAACACAUGCAAGUCGAACGGCAGCACAGUAAGAGCUUGCUCUUACGGGUGGCGAGUGGCGGACGGGUGAGGAAUACAUCGGAAUCUACUUUUUCGUGGGGGAUAACGUAGGGAAACUUACGCUAAUACCGCAUACGACCUACGGGUGAAAGCAGGGGAUCUUCGGACCUUGCGCGAUUGAAUGAGCCGAUGUCGGAUUAGCUAGUUGGCGGGGUAAAGGCCCACCAAGGCGACGAUCCGUAGCUGGUCUGAGAGGAUGAUCAGCCACACUGGAACUGAGACACGGUCCAGACUCCUACGGGAGGCAGCAGUGGGGAAUAUUGGACAAUGGGGGCAAGCCUGGUCCAGCCAUACCGCGUGGGUGAAGAAGGCCUUCGGGUUGUAAAGCCCUUUUGUUGGGAAAGAAAAGCAGCAGGUUAAUACCCCGCUGUUCUGACGGUACCCAAAGAAUAAGCACCGGCUAACUUCGUG
rnacentral:rRNA from 1 species